UAAGUGCAUCAAAAUGAUGGUGCGGUAUUCUAGUCACUCUACUUUACUUGAAGACGGGGCUAAAAAUCCGUCAAAGGGCACAUCGAUGAAGUUCCUGGUACUGGCUUAAGGCGCCCAGCUUUGGGCUCGUGCUGGGAGUAAAGGGCGUAGGGCGAUCCGCAACGGCAUGUGGGCGAAGACCCUGCGCCCGUGGAGACACGUACGUUGUUUGCUUUAGCAAUGACUAUGUGGAAAACCUGUUUCGUAAGUACUUAUUCACUAAGGAAAAGCGAACAGCGUAGCCUGCCUUGAGUGGGAAAGAGGGGAUGGUCGGCGCAUAACUUUGAACUACUUGGCCGGUAUGAUAAGGGGCGCCUUCCUGAAAUCAAUUCUGCAAAAGAGGCUAGAGCAAAGUUUCAAGAGUGCUUGAGGAAAUCUCCUAGACUGUCUGCAUACCUGCAGCAUUUGAAAAGGAUUAUAGUGCGGUCUGAGUGGUGUUCUAGUUCAAUGUCUGGUGACAGCAUUGGUCAAGUUUUAAAAGGAAACUGCCUGCUUGGCAACAACAGGUAAUUUGACGGGAAAACCUACUGGACCUAAGCCGCAAUAUUUACUUUUCAAAUGACCUCACUACAUAAUUAGUUA
rnacentral:sRNA from 1 species